GCUUCCCUAAUUGUUCACUAUUACUUCAGAUGACUUCUGAAAGUCCUUGACAAUCAGUGUUAGGGAUGGCAUCAAGGUGGAUUGCUUCAACGGCUCAGUCUUCUCAUCAAGGAUCCAAGUUCGUUGAGCUUCUCCACUCUGCUGCCUACAACAUCAGCUUUACACACAGGUUGAUUUUCUUUAUGAUUGUGAGAAAGAGUGAAAGCAUGAGAAGAGGAGGGGCAGAGGUGGAGGGAGAGACAGAAUCUUAAGCAGACUCCAGGCCCAUUGUGGAGCCCCAUGGGGGUUUGAUCUCAGGACCAUGCAGUUGUGACCUGAGCCAAAAUCAAAAGUUGGAUG